rnacentral:rRNA from 1 species
AGCGAACGUUAGCGGCAGGCCUAACACAUGCAAGUCGAGCGAGAAUAGGGCUUCGGCUCUUAGUAAAGCGGCGGACGGGUGCGUAACACGUAGAUAAUCUGCCCUCUAGCGGGGAACAACAGUCCGAAAGGAUUGCUAAUGCCGCAUGUCACUGCGGGGACUCCGGUCCCUGUUGGAAAAGGGGCCCGCAAGGGUCUCACUAGAGGAUGAGUCUGCGGCCCAUCAGCUUGUUGGCGGGGUAAUGGCCCACCAAGGCAAAGACGGGUAGCUGGUCUGAGAGGAUAACCAGCCACACUGGGACUGAGACACGGCCCAGACUCCUACGGGAGGCAGCAGUGGGGAAUAUUGGACAAUGGGCGCAAGCCUGAUCCAGCCAUGCCGCGUGAGUGGAUGAAGGUCUUCGGAUCGUAAAGCUCUGUUGGGGAAGGGAAGAAAAAAGGUAAUACCCUCAUACGUAUGCUC